AACGAACGCUGGCGGCAUGCCUAACACAUGCAAGUCGAACGAGACCUUCGGGUCUAGUGGCGCACGGGUGCGUAACGCGUUGGAACCUGCCCUUAGGUUCUGAAUAACUCCCCGAAAUGGGUGCUAAUACCGGAUAAUGUCUUCGGACCAAAGAUUUAUCGCCUUUGGAUGGGGCCGCGUUGGAUUAGCUAGUUGGUAGGGUAAAAGCCUACCAAGGCGACGAUCCAUAGCUGGUUGGAGAGGAUGAUCAGCCACACUGGGACUGAGACACGGCCCAGACUGCUACGAGAGGCAGCAGUGGGGAAUAAUGGAGAAUAGGCGAAAGGCUGAUCCAGCGAUGCCGCGUGAGUGAUGAAGGCGUUAGGGUUGUAAAGCGCUUUUACCCGGGAUGAUAAUGACAGUACCGGGAGAAUAAGCUCCGGCUAACUCCGUG
rnacentral:rRNA from 1 species